GCCCGGGUAGCUCAGCUGGAUAGAGCAGCGCUUUCCUAAAGCGCAGGUCGUUGGUUCGAAUCCAAUCCCGGGUG
rnacentral:tRNA from 1 species